GACGAACGCUGGCGGCGUGCUUAACACAUGCAAGUCGAACGGUAAGGCCCUUCGGGGUACACGAGUGGCGAACGGGUGAGUAACACGUGGGUGAUCUGCCCUGCACUUCGGGAUAAGCCUGGGAAACUGGGUCUAAUACCGGAUAGGACCACUGCCUGCAUGGGUGGUGGUGGAAAGCUUUUGCGGUGUGGGAUGGGCCCGCGGCCUAUCAGCUUGUUGGUGGGGUGAGGGCCUACCAAGGCGACGACGGGUAGCCGGCGUGAGAGGGUGCCCGGCCACACUGGGACUGAGAUCCGGCCCAGACUCCUACGGGAGGCAGCAGUGGGGAAUAUUGAACAAUGGGCGCAAGCCUGAUGCAGCGACGCCGCGUGAGGGAUGACGGCCUUCGGGUUGUAAACCUCUUUCAGCACCGACGAAGCGCAAGUGACGGUAGGUGCAGAAGAAGGACCGGCCAACUACGUGCCAGCCGCCGCCGUAA
rnacentral:rRNA from 1 species